rnacentral:rRNA from 1 species
GAGGAACGCUGGCGGCGUGCCUAAUACAUGCAAGUCGAGCGAACAGACGAGGAGCUUGCUCCUCUGACGUUAGCGGCGGACGGGUGAGUAACACGUGGAUAACCUACCUAUAAGACUGGGAUAACUUCGGGAAACCGGAGCUAAUACCGGAUAAUAUAUUGAACCGCAUGGUUCAAUAGUGAAAGACGGUUUUGCUGUCACUUAUAGAUGGAUCCGCGCCGCAUUAGCUAGUUGGUAAGGUAACGGCUUACCAAGGCAACGAUGCGUAGCCGACCUGAGAGGGUGAUCGGCCACACUGGAACUGAGACACGGUCCAGACUCCUACGGGAGGCAGCAAUAGGGAAUCUUCCGCAAUGGGCGAAAGCCUGACGGAGCAACGCCGCGUGAGUGAUGAAGGUCUUCGGAUCGUAAAACUCUGUUAUUAGGGAAGAACAAAUGUGUAAGUAACUAUGCACGUCUUGACGGUACCUAAUCAGAAAGCCACGGCUAACUACGUG